UACAGAGGGUGCGAGCGUUGUCCGGAAUCACUGGGCGUAAAGGGCGCGUAGGUGGCGACCCAAGUCGAUGGUGAAAGCUCGCCGCUCAACGGCGAGUCGGCCACCGAUACUGGGUUGCUGGAGCACUGUAGAGGCAGAUGGAAUUCCGGGUGUAGCGGUGGAAUGCGUAGAGAUCCGGAAGAACACCGGUGGCGAAGGCGGUUGGCUGGGCCACAACUGACACUGAUGCGCGACAGCGUGGGGAGCAAACAGG
rnacentral:rRNA from 1 species